rnacentral:rRNA from 1 species
UACGAAGGGUGCAAACGUUGCUCGGAAUUAUUGGGCGUAAAGCGCACGUAGGCGGCUUUGCAAGUCGGAUGUGAAAUCCCUCGGCUCAACCAAGGAAGUGCAUCCGAAACUGCAGAGCUUGAGUACCAAAGAGGAUCGCGGAAUUCCCGGUGUAGAGGUGAAAUUCGUAGAUAUCGGGAGGAACACCAGUGGCGAAGGCGGCCUGCUGGGACGUGGCUGACGCUGAGGCGCGACAGCGUGGGGAGCAAACAGG